AGGGAAAAGAAGAAGACAAGAGGCAGAAGGUGGGGGGAAGGAACAAAGAGGAUGAAGGGUAGAGAGGACCUGGGAGACCCCAAUUCCAGAAAGAAUGCACAUCACUGGGGCGAGAACUAGCAUCAGACGUACCUAGAAAGGAGAAAGGAGAAAGGAAGCAUAAUUGAUAACACAUCACCUCCACAGACCAAAGUGAGAAUGCUUCUGUCAACGUGCACAGAGAACAGAAAAAAACAAUGAAUUUUUGCUGAGGAAAAUGGAACAAGGGC